UACGGGGGGUGCGAGCGUUGUCCGGAAUCACUGGGCGUAAAGGGCGCGUAGGUGGUCUGAUAAGGGUGUGGUGAAAGCCCGGGGCUCAACCCCGGGUCGGCCGUGCCGACUGUUGGACUAGAGUGCUGUAGGGGCAGGCGGAAUUCCGGGUGUAGCGGUGGAAUGCGUAGAGAUCCGGAGGAAGACCGGUGGCGAAGGCGGCCUGCUGGGCAGUUACUGACACUGAGGCGCGACAGCGUGGGGGGCAAACAGG
rnacentral:rRNA from 1 species